rnacentral:lncRNA from 1 species
GAUCGGUUUGGUUACUAAUUUUAUGAUGUUUAACCAGACUGACAGUGACGUGCAGGCCCCUGUGGUGCCUGGUGCCUCAGCCUGUACUCCCCUCCCAUCCUGACCCUGUGAGCUGCGGGGGGCUGGGAGCAGGCUAGCCACAUGUCAGUUCUGCACAAGCCUUUCUGGGAGCUACACAUCAGGUGGGCUGCAGGCUUCCAGGCUAGACAGCUCCUUACCACCAGAAGUCCGUGCCUACCAGCUGCCUCACGCCCCAAGGCCCAGCAACAAGGACAAGCACCUCCCCAGAGCUUCCGGAAGGCUCUCACAGAAACCACAUUCCAGGCCUUUUAAAACGAAAAACACCCCCCAGCUACUCCAGAGGCUGAGGCAGGAAAAUGGCUUGAACCCAGGAGGCAGAGGUUGCAGUGAGCCAAGAUCCCACGACUGCACUCCAGCCUGGGCAACAGAGCGAGACUCUGUCUCAAAAAAAAAAAAUACUGAGACCCCAUCUCUACAAAAAAUAAAAUAAAAUAAAAUAAAAUAAAAUAAAAUAAAAUAAAAUACAAAAUUAAAAAAAAAAGAAAAAAAAGAGAAAAACACCCUCCCUAAGACCUCUGUUCACCCCUCCCUGUGUGAGGCCCAGGAGGCAUCAGUAAACAGAAACAAGGCCGGCCCUCACACAGCAGGUACACCCCAACAUCUCAACAAAACCUCACACAGGACACACACCCAACAUCGCAACAAAACCUCACACGGCACACACACCCCAACAUCUCAACAAAACCUCACACAGGACACACACCCCAACAUCUCAACAAAACCUCACACGGCACGCACAUCCCAACAUCUCAACAAAACCUCCCACGGCACGUACAACCCAAAAUCUCAACAAAACCUCCCACGGCACGCACACCCCAACAUCUCAACAAAACCUCCCACGGCACGCACACCCCAACAUCUCAACAAAACCUCCCACGGCACGCACACCCCAACAUCUCAACAAAACCUCCCACGGCACGCACACCCCAACAUCUCAACAAAACCUCCCACGGCACGCACACCCCAACAUCUCAACAAAACCUCCCACGGCACGCACACCCCAACAUCUCAACAAAACCUCCCACGGCACGCACACCCCAACAUCUCAACAAAACCUCCCACGGCACGUACACCCCAACAUCUCAACAAAACCUCCCACGGCACGUACACCCCAACAUCUCAACAAAACCUCACACGGCACACACACCUCAACAUCAACAAAACCUCACACAGCACACACACCUCAACAUCAACAAAACCUCACACGGCACACACACCCCAACAUCUCAACAAAACCUCACACAGCACACACACCCCAACAUCUCAACAAAACCUCACACGGCACACACACCUCAACAUCAACAAAACCUCACACGGCACACACACCCCAACAUCUCAACAAAACCUCACACGGCACGCACACCCCAACAUCUCAACAAAACCUCACACGGCACGUACACCCCAACAUCUCAACAAAACCUCACACGGCACGCACACCCCAACAUCUCAACAAAACCUCACACGGCACGCACACCCCAACAUCUCAACAAAACCUCACACGGCACACACACCCCAACAUCUCAACAAAACCUCCCACAGCACACACAACCCAACAUCAACAAAACCUCACACAGCACACACACCCCAACAUCUCAACAAAACCUCACACGGCACGUACACCCCAACAUCUCAACAAAACCUCACACGGCACGUACACCCCAACAUCUCAACAAAACCUCACACGGCACGCACACCCCAACAUCUCAACAAAACCUCACACGGCACACACACCUCAACAUCAACAAAACCUCACACAGCACACACACCCCAACAUCUCAACAAAACCUCACACAGCACACACACCCCAACAUCAACAAAACCUCACACAGCACACACACCUCAACAUCAACAAAACCUCACACAGCACACACACCCCAACAUCUCAAUAAAACCUCACACGGCACGUACACCCCAACAUCGCAACAAAACCUCACACGGCACACACACCCCAACAUCUCAACAAAACCUCACACGGCACACACACCUCAACAUCAACAAAACCUCACACAGCACACACACCCCAACAUCUCAACAAAACCUCACACGGCACGUACACCCCAACAUCGCAACAAAACCUCACACGGCACGCACACCCCAACAUCUCAACAAAACCUCACACGGCACGUACACCCCAACAUCUCAACAAAACCUCAGUAUCUACAAAAAGUAGCUGUGUAUGAAAUAAACCGAGCUGAUGUUUCUUUAAACAAGUUCUUUCAAUGGGAUUCCAGAGGCCCAGGUCUUGCAUUUCAGCAAUCAGCAGAGCAAGGGAAACACUCCAAGGCACGCUGCAGACAGACGCCCAGCAGAGGCAGGGCCAGAAGCAACACCAGGUUAAGUGGCACAAACUUUCCC